UGUUUGAGUUGAACUCAUUCAGUGUUUCACACAAUCCUUUAAACCCUUGUUUGUCUGUCAGCCUGUUCUUGACGAUUUCUUUCGAGCAGCAGUCUCUCUCUCUUUCUAGCUCUCAGCAUGGGGCGACACAUUGUUCUACUUCAUCAGACGGCAGACAGAAAAGUUUAAAAGACUUUGGCCCACUCGAAAUCAGCUGGAGCUGUGAAUGGAGCUGUGGAGUUCAGAUCAAGGGAUGUGUUUUUGGCUUCAGGGGAGCCCAGAACGAGCCUGUCUGAUCUUGUCUGGAGCGCUGCCUGGCAUGGAAUGGAAAAUACCCACCUCCUGCAUGAAAAUCAAGGAGAGCGAGAGGUGGAAAAUGACUCGACAGCUCUGUAUUGGAAAAGAGCAGUUUGGACUUUCAGUUAAAUGACCCUUUUAUGCUCCACAGAUGACAGAAAGUCAUACAGGGUUCAAACGGUUAAGGAAUGGAGCACAACAGUGACUUUGACAAAAAAUAUGGCAUUGGAAUGGCAUGAGGCUGAGUAAACAAUAAGAGAAUAUCACUUUUAAUCUGUGGUGAAUGCAGUUUCAUGACGUCUUUAGUGUUCACAUAUGGAGCAGUGUUGUUGAUUUACUGUAUAAUGGAUGUACGUUUAUCUCAGAAUGAACUGUUAACUUACACACUAGUAGAUAACGAGAGGUCCUCUUACAGUCAUCAACUGAGAUAAAUGAAGUGGCAG
ensembl:lncRNA